CGGAGUAUAGCACAGCUUGGUAGUGCGUUUCGUUCGGGACGAAGAGGUCGCAGGUUCAAAUCCUGUUACUCCGACCA
rnacentral:tRNA from 1 species